rnacentral:rRNA from 1 species
AUUGAACGCUGGCGGCAGGCCUAACACAUGCAAGUCGAGCGGUAGCACAGAGAGCUUGCUCUCGGGUGACGAGCGGCGGACGGGUGAGUAAUGUCUGGGAAACUGCCUGAUGGAGGGGGAUAACUACUGGAAACGGUAGCUAAUACCGCAUAACGUCGCAAGACCAAAGAGGGGGACCUUCGGGCCUCUUGCCAUCAGAUGUGCCCAGAUGGGAUUAGCUAGUAGGUGGGGUAACGGCUCACCUAGGCGACGAUCCCUAGCUGGUCUGAGAGGAUGACCAGCAAUACUGGAAUUGAGACACGGGCCGGACUCCUCCGGGAGGCAGCAGUGGGGAAUAUUGCACAAUGGGCGCAAGCCUGAUGCAGCCAGGCCGCGUGUAUGAAGAAGGCCUUCGGGUUGUAAAGUACUUUCAGCGGGGAGGAAGGCGAUAAGGUUAAUAACCUUGUCGAUUGACGUUACCCGCAGAAGAAGCACCGGCUAACUCCGUGCCAGCAGCCGCCGUAA